ensembl:lncRNA
AUGAGUGGAGAAGGAGAUCAAAGCCCAAAUGGAGCAGGGAGGCCUUUGCAAGGGGCCCGGCCGUUGGGAGAAGAGACGCUGCAAGCCAUAGCUUCCUCUACGGGGUACCCCAGGCCGGACGGCAUGACCCAGAGGAUCCCCAGGGGAGGAAGAGGCGUCUCUGCGGCUGCGGAAACCAGUUGGGGAUCUGGAGGAAGCAUGCCGGAGACCGUGGCCCUGCGGUUAUCCAUCCUGGAAACAAAUUUAUCCAGGCUGUCGGAAACCGUGGGGAGGUUGGUGCCACUAUUGGAAGAGAAUCUCCAAAAGGAGCCCAUCCGAUAUGGCGCCGAGAGAGAGCCAAGUAAAGAAGGAGAUUGGAGCCAGAGGGGCCAGCGAGCAUCAACGCAGAGUCCCGUGGCGGCGAGGGGCGAGGUAGAUGAGGAAUAUUGGCAGGAGCUGGAGUUCCGAGACAGAAUGGCACGCGAAGUGGAGCGCCAGCGAGCUCUGGGAACUCUGAGGCCGCCAUCUCCAACAGAGCUCCCAACCCCCCGGAUGGGCGUCGGGGUGGAAAGACCACUGGGGCCAGGGAUCGGGUCCAGUGGAUUAGCAGACGAAGGCGGAGAGGAGCAGGAGAUCCAGGAAGAGGAGGAGAAUGUGCUGUACGACGAAGGAAGACGAGAUGCGGGGGCUACAGCGAGGCCCGUAUGCGGAUGGGUGGAAGGGCCGACAGCGGCGGCAGAAUUUCGGGAGCCGCGCAGAAUGACCACCGGAGUGGGGCGCGGCGUGUUCAGAGGGGCCGUCCAAGGAAACCCGAUGCAACCCUUCCCCAUGCCUCCCAGACAGCACCAACGGGCCGCAGAAUGGAUGCCAAGGAGGGAAGAUCUCAAACUAGAAUACGGAGGGGAAUCAGCUGAAUUGAACUUUUUUCUAAUUAGCAUCAGAGGAUACAUGGAAGACAAUGCACACACAUUCCCCUCCGAAGCAAGCAGGGUUCGAGCCAUCGGCAACACACUAAAGAGAGGAGCUGCAAGCUGGUAUGUGCAACUACAUGCCAGACGCGACCCAUGCCUGAGGUCAGUGCCCCGCUUCCUCGCCGCACUGGAAAACCGGUUCAGAGACCGGCUAGAGCAACUGAGGGCUCGAGACCAGCUUAAAGGAAUAAAGCAGAGGGACAAAACGGUGCCCGAGUACGCAGAGGAAUUCCUCCACCUCGCGGAAAGGGUACCAGAGUGGUCUGAAGUGACCAAAGUGGAAAUAUUUAAAGAGGGACUACGCCCCGAGGUUUUCAGCUGGGCAGCGCACAGAGAUGACCCCGAAACGCUCCAGGGAUGGAUUCAACUAGCGGGGCGCGUUGAGUCCACCCUGGCCCAAGUGAAGCGCUUCAGGAGCAGCGGCGGCCAGCAAAGACCGGUGGCGAGAGGUAGAGGAGAAACGAGGAAGCAGGAAAGGUCCGGAGGGAGGCCGGGGAUUCCCUCCAGAGGAGACGACAACAAACCUAAACCGGGAUGCUUUGUGUGUGGGAAGACGGGCCAUCGAGCAGCAGAAUGUUGGGCACGGAAGGGGGAGCCGCCAAAACCCUCAAAACCCAAGCCAGCAACCGGGAGGCGUGCGGAGGAGGAGGUGCAAGCCCCAGAAUCUUCGGAAAAACUGGACUAUGAUGAAAGAAGAACCGAAGAGGAGGACGAAGAAAACGAGGGCGCCAUGUCAUGGAGCCAAAUCCCAGGGCUGGAUUUCCAAGCCCUGAAUCUGGCUUCAUAACAUAAACAACCUUGCAAGCACCUGGCGGGAGAAGAUAAAAUGAGCCUGGGAACUCAGGGUUGAAAGUAUAAACAAUUAUAAUUGAUGUAGUGUGUGGGAAUGGUAGUAAUGUGAUCCAGAGGGUGGGGUUUGAUGAUGAUAUUUGCGUGUGCUAUUACGUUGCAUCAGAAGUGAUAAAAUUGAGUGUAUGUAAACAUUAGGUCAUUCUCGACUUUUCCAAAGUCAUGUAUUCUUCAAUAAAGAUUGGAUUUGAGAGCAGCUAUCUUUGAUCUGCGUUCAGACUGGUCCUUUGAAGUGAGCGUGACAUAUAUGUGUUCAUUGUAAUCCUCCCUGAGUCCCCUUCGGGGUGAGAAGGGCGGAAUAUAAAUACUGUAAAUAAAUAAAUAAAUAAAUAAAUAAAUAAAUUUUGGAAUAUAUCGUGGUUGAGAAGCAAUCAAGAUGUUCAUUGAAGUCAUAUGGUAACAUCAUUUUAGGAUUGUACAAUCUCAGGAAUAUUUUUAUCAGAUUUAAAGAUAAAGUUAAUGCAUUUUAAAAAUUAGCUCAUCAAGAGAAGCACUGAAAUUUAAUUCUCACCCCAAUGUACUGCUAUUCUUCAUGUAGAGAAAUUUUGAACAUGGGAAGCUUUCCCAACAACUGCAACCCAGACUGGUUAGACCUUACCAUUAUCAUUCUGCUGAAUUAGUUGUGAAUAUUGAAUAUUGAAAGAUGGAACACCUUGGAUGGAGUAUAGCUGUUUAAAGAACAUCAUAGUAUUGUCUAAUGCUGAUUCUCAAGAAGGAAGCUGGUUUGGCCAAAGUAAAAUGGCUAAAACGGAUUUAUACACAAGUCUAGUAAUAUGUGCCAGUAAAGACUUGCAGUUACAGUAGAGUCUCACUUAUCCAACAUAAACAGGCCAGCAGAACAUUGGAUAAGCGAAUAUUUAUUUACAGUAUUUAUAUUCCGCCCUUCUUUCUCACCCCGAAGGGGACUCAGGGCGGAUCACAUUACAUAUAUAAGGCAAACAUUCAAUGCUUUAACAUAGAACAAAGACAGAGACAAACAUGGGGCUCCGAGCUGGCCUCGAACUCAUGACCUCCUGGUCAGAGUGAUUCAUUGCAGCUGGCUGCAGCUGGUUGCUCAACAGCCUGCGCCACAGCCCGGCCCAAAUAUGUUGGAUAAUAAGGAGGUAUUAAGGAAAAGCCUAUUAAACAUCAAAUUAGGUUAUGAUUUUACAAAUUAAGCACCAAAACAUCAUGUUUUACAACAAAUUUGACAGUAAAAGUAGUUCAAUAUGCAGUAAUGCUAAGUAGUAAUUACUGUAUUUACGAAUUUAGCACCAAAAUAUCACGAUGUAUUGAAAACAUUGACUACAAAAAUGCGUUGGAUCAUCCAGAACGUUGGAUAAGCAAAUGUUGGAUAAGUGAGACUCUACUGUAUAUUUGUGUAUUCCAGCUGUGAAUUGCACAUUGCAAUUGAGCAUUGUGAUAUAUGCUCAGUGUACUGCUGUUUCUUUUUAUAUUUGUCCACACUAAAGGUAAGACUGAUGAUCAAAAAGACUGAAAAUCACUGUUGUUGUUAUUCCGUCAGAGACA